rnacentral:rRNA from 1 species
AACCCAGACCGCCAGCUAAGGUCCCAAAGUCAUGGUUAAGUGGGAAACGAUGUGGGAAGGCCCAGACAGCCAGGAUGUUGGCUUAGAAGCAGCCAUCAUUUAAAGAAAGCGUAAUAGCUCACUGGUCGAGUCGGCCUGCGCGGAAGAUGUAACGGGGCUAAACCAUGCACCGAAGCUGCGGCAGCGACGCUUAUGCGUUGUUGGGUAGGGGAGCGUUCUGUAAGCCUGUGAAGGUGGCCUGUGAGGGUUGCUGGAGGUAUCAGAAGUGCGAAUGCUGACAUAAGUAACGAUAAAGCGGGUGAAAAGCCCGCUCGCCGGAAGACCAAGGGUUCCUGUCCAACGUUAAUCGGGGCAGGGUGAGUCGACCCCUAAGGCGAGGCCGAAAGGCGUAGUCGAUGGGAAACAGGUUAAUAUUCCUGUACUUGGUGUUACUGCGAAGGGGGGACGGAGAAGGCUAUGUUGGCCGGGCGACGGUUGUCCCGGUUUAAGCGUGUAGGCUGGUUUUCCAGGCAAAUCCGGAAAACCAAGGCUGAGGCGUGAUGACGAGGC